rfam:Marine metagenome ctg_1101667337990, whole genome shotgun sequence.
AAAAUUGUGCUCAUUAUCUCUCUCCAUAGGAUUUUUACCCUUUCCUAUUAGCGAUAUUGGGCACAAACAA